CAGCAGCCGCGGUAAUACGGAGGGUGCAAGCGUUAAUCGGAAUUACUGGGCGUAAAGCGCACGCAGGCGGUCUGUCAAGUCGGAUGUGAAACCCCCGGGCUCAACCUGGGAACUGCAUUCGAAACUGGCAGGCUAGAGUCUUGUAGAGGGGGGUAGAAUUCCAGGUGUAGCGGUGAAAUGCGUAGAGAUCUGGAGGAAUACCGGUGGCGAAGGCGGCCCCCUGGACAAAGACUGACGCUCAGGUGCGAAAGCGUGGGGAGCAAACAGGAUUAGAUACCCGCGUAGUCCCUGUCUCUUAUAC
rnacentral:rRNA from 1 species